rnacentral:rRNA from 1 species
GAUGAACGCUGGCGGCGUGCCUAAUACAUGCAAGUCGAGCGAACAGACGAGGAGCUUGCUCCUCUGACGUUAGCGGCGGACGGGUGAGUAACACGUGGAUAACCUACCUAUAAGACUGGGAUAACUUCGGGAAACCGGAGCUAAUACCGGAUAAUAUAUUGAACCGCAUGGUUCAAUAGUGAAAGACGGUUUUGCUGUCACUUAUAGAUGGAUCCGCGCCGCAUUAGCUAGUUGGUAAGGUAACGGCUUACCAAGGCAACGAUGCGUAGCCGACCUGAGAGGGUGAUCGGCCACACGGGAACUGAGACACGGUCCAGACUCCUACGGGAGGCAGCAGUAGGGAAUCUUCCGCAAGGGGCGAAAGCCUGACGGAGCAACGCCGCGUGAGUGAUGAAGGUCUUCGGAUCGUAAAACUCUGUUAUUAGGGAAGAACAAAUGUGUAAGUAACUAUGCACGUCUUGACGGUACCUAAUCAGAAAGCCACGGCUAACUACGUG